CGGCGGACGGGUGAGUAAGGUAUGGGGAUCUGGCCGAAGGCGGGGGAUAACCACUGGAAACGGUGGCUAAUACCGCAUAAUCUCUAAGGAGCAAAGUGGGGGACCAUUAGGCCUCACACCUUCGGAUGAACCCAUAUGAGAUUAGCUAGUAGGUGGGGUAAAGGCUCACCUAGGCGACGAUCUCUAGCUGGUCUGAGAGGAUGAUCAGCCACACUGGGACUGAGACACGGCCCAG
rnacentral:rRNA from 1 species